UACGGGGGGGGGCAAGCGUUGUUCGGAAUUACUGGGCGUAAAGGGCUCGUAGGCGGCCAACUAAGUCAGACGUGAAAUCCCUCGGCUUAACCGGGGAACUGCGUCUGAUACUGGAUGGCUUGAGUUUGGGAGAGGGAUGCGGAAUUCCAGGUGUAGCGGUGAAAUGCGUAGAUAUCGGGAGGAACACCAGUGGCGAAGGCGGCGAUCUGGACAGAUAUUGACGCUGAGGUGCGGAAGCGUGGGGAGCAAACAGG
rnacentral:rRNA from 1 species